rnacentral:misc_RNA from 1 species
GAAAUGCGAUAAGUAAUGUGAAUUGCAGAAUUCAGUGAAUCAUCGAAUCUUUGAACGCACCUUGCGCUCCUUGGUAUUCCUUGGAGCAUGCCUGUUUGAGUAUCAUGAAAUCUUCAAAGUAAAUCUUUUGUUAACUCAAUUGGUUUCUACUUUGGUAUUGGAGGUCUUUGCAGCUUCACACCUGCUCCUCUUUGUUCAUUAGCUGGAUCUCAGUGUUAUGCUUGGUUCCACUCGGCGUGAUAAGUUAUCUAUCGCUGAGGACACUGUAAAAGGUGGCCAAGGGAAAUGCAGAUGAACCGCUUCUAAUAGUCCAUUGACUUGGACAAUACUUUUAUGAUCUGAUCUCAAAUCAGGUAGGACUACCCGCUGAACUUAAGC